rnacentral:pre_miRNA from 1 species
UUUCUACUCCCUCCGUCCGAAAAUACUUGUCAUCAAAAUGGAUAAAAAGAGAUGUAUCUAAAACUAAAAUACGUCUAGAUACAUAUCCUUUUAUCCAUUUUGAUGACAAGUAUUUCCGGACGGAGAGAGUAUUUG